UUAACUUUUUAGAAACAUUUUAAGGGGAAGAAAAAGAAGCCAUAAGUAUCUACUUCAAUAGGAGAUUUGGUGUAUUUCCUCUCUCUUUCUUUAAUACUGGGAUGGCAAAAGAGCUGCGGUGGAAAAGCCAGCUGCUGGCUGCCAGCAUCAAGGGGGCGGAGACUUCAGGGGGCCCAGGUGACCCAUCCCACAGCCACCACAUCAGGCUCCUGCUGCAGCAUCAAUGUCUAUCCAGUAUCUCCACUUUGGGAGAGAUUUAGUCUGACUUCCAGAGUAACACACAAACCCUGGAGUGAAAGACUCUCUUUGCUUAUGUAACUGGUGUUUUAUGUGGGGUAACUAUUUGAGUUGUGUUUAAUCUACAUUUCAUGUGUUUCAGCUGCUCUGGCCCCUAUAAAAGAUCAGCUUGUGAAUCAUUCACAAGCAAGUCAAGGGAAAAUUGGGAGCAGCUGGGGGGCCAGUACUGUGGGGCAUCUGAUGGACAAGGAAGCUGAGACUAGAGAGGCAGAGGGGCUGAUCAGAGCCUGCAGCUUGGGCACUGCUGGUGUCAGGACCCCACAUAAAACACCUAGUCUCUAUCCAUAAAAAGGAACACCCUCUGGGAGAGAACUAGAAAAAGUUGAAGCUUUUUGCCCAUUUCUUUUUCUCUCUGUAGUGUUGUUUAGUCUCUACAUUUAAAAUUUACAGAAACUAAACUACUAUACAUUUUCAGCAACCAGUUUAUUUGAGGAGCCUCAACGUGAAGAAGGAAAUAUAAGAAAAUGGCUUGAUAUAUUUUUUAAGCACUGCUUUCAACCACGUUCUGUCAACUCAUCCUUUCCAUCUUAGUAUUAGACAGAUUUGAUAUCUCUAAGGUCAUUUUAGUUAUUAAAAUUUGUCCAAACUAAUAUCAGAAGGGAUUCAAAGCUCUUCUCUGCUUCCCUGGGGCAUCCACAGGAAUAGUCCAGGUUCUCCAGUCAAGCCCCUCAAGCCCAAAGUACCACAGAGAGCAGACUGUUGGAGAACUUGAGCUGCACAUGCAUGGAUUUUCCAGGCUCCAUUACCAACCAGGCAUCGAGGCAGCAAGAUGCCUUCCCUGAGUCAGUGGAGCUGCCAGAAAGAGGCUGAGUCCCUCACCAACUCAGCUAAGGCCUUGCUUGAGGAACCUGUUCUACUUUAGUAAAUGAAGGACUGGCCGGUGCAUCCCAAUGAAUAAUCUAUCGGGAGGAAGCAAAGAGUGAAGGGGAAGGAAGACAUGACUGCAAUAAUCAAAGUACUUUAUUUUCAAGAAGGAGGGGGGCCGGCCCCGUGGCCGAGUGGUUAAGUUGGCGCGCUCUGCUUCCGUGGUCCAGGGUUUCGUUGGUUCGGAUCCUGGGAGUGGACGUGGCACCGCUCAUUAGGCCAUGCUGAGGCAGCGUCCCGCAUUACACAGCCAGAAGCACUCACGUCUAGAAUAUACAACUACGUAAGAUGUUAGAAGAAGAAGAAAAAAAGAAGAUUGGCAACAGAUAUUAGCACAAGUGCCAAUCUUAAAAAAAAUAAAAAGAAAGAGGAGUUACCAGGAAGUUACCUCUGGAGACAGGGUGGUCCCUUCACCUGACCACGUCCACUCCCUGGGCCUUCACUCUCCCCACCUGUCCUCAUUUCUAUAAAGGCUUGAGACUGACCCGUGUUUUAGGCUCCUCCCUGCUGAGGGAGCUGUGAGCAUCCUACCCCCAAGGUGAAGCUGGCCUUAAAGAGAGCAUCAUUUACGCCAAAGGGCAGGUCUGCUUGGCUCCUUGGACCUUUUCAGGGACCUUCCAUUUCAGAUGAAACUUGACAUAUCUUAAUCCCUUUCAAUUUAGAGACCUUAAGCAGCUAAGGCUCCAUUUCUUAUGGGCU
ensembl:lncRNA